UACGUAGGGGGCAAGCGUUGUCCGGAUUUAUUGGGCGUAAAGAGCGUGUAGGCGGUUAGGUAGGUCCGUUGUGAAAACUCGAGGCUCAACCUCGAGACGCCGAUGGAAACCAUCUAACUAGAGUCGGAAGAGGAGAGUGGAAUUCCUGGUGUAGCGGUGAAAUGCGCAGAUAUCAGGAAGAACACCCGUGGCUAAGGCGGCUCUCUAGUACGGUACUGACGCUGAGACGCGAAAGCGUGGGGAGCGAACAGG
rnacentral:rRNA from 1 species